rnacentral:rRNA from 1 species
GACAGAGGGUGCAACCGUUGUUCGGAAUUACUGGGCGUAAAGCGCGUGUAGGCGGCUUUGCAAGUCGGGUGUGAAAUCCCACGGCUCAACCGUGGAAGUGCACUCGAAACUGCAAGGCUAGAGUCCUGGAGAGGAAGGUGGAAUGCUUGGUGUAGAGGUGAAAUUCGUAGAUAUCAAGCGGAACACCGGUGGCGAAGGCGGCCUUCUGGACAGUGACUGACGCUGAGACGCGAAAGCGUGGGGAGCAAACAGG